GUAAAUAUCUGCUCGUAGCCUGGCAUCUUACUGUACCCUGGAAAAUAAUUUAUGUCAAUGACAUAGAACCGAUCCCGCAUGCCAUGCUCCCUGAUUAUAUCUAUGUUGAACAACCGAAGACCCAAGCGACGACGAAGUUCUUUAGCAAGUCUCUCAAGUAAAGGUCUUGGAGGAAGUUCAGCUACACCAGGAUCCAGAUCUGCAUCAUCUGCAGAUGCAGCAGCACAUGAAACCCUUGGGAAUCGAAAGACACCAGCACUGCUCAAUAGGUCACGCUUGUUAACAUCAGGAAGGGAAAAUCGGCGGACAACCUUUAUUGCUUCUCCAACAAUAUAUACUUUAAAGAGAACACCACCAUGGUUGACAAACUCCUGGAGGACCAAUGGAGGAUCAAGCUUUGAUAAGGAAAACGGAUCAUAGGCAAGAGAUAGCUCGUGUGAUUUAGCACUUAAUGGCUUGGCAACUAAGGGCAAUUUCAGGCCGGCCU
rnacentral:misc_RNA from 1 species